rnacentral:lncRNA from 1 species
AAAACACGACCAUAUCUUUUCUGAAAACUAAACGAAAUCGAGAUUUCGAUGGAGACAUCACACAUCACAUGAGAGACUAUUGCAAGGACAUGUGUAAUUUACACAAGGAAAAACUCUAUUAAAUAAAUGUUGGUUGUUGAGAUUUUAGUUGAAGUUGUAAAUUAGAUUAAUCAAUGGAUAUAUACAGGACUAAGAUCGCAAGAGACAGUUUGGUUCAUCAUAAUAUAUUCAGUGGAUAAGAUUUGAUUCAUCAUAAUAUAUCAUAUGGACUGUUUGGUCCACCACUCCUUGACGGGUGUCUUUCAACUCUUU